rnacentral:lncRNA from 1 species
GCUGCACUUGCGGCAUAUGGAGGUUCCCAGGCUAGGGCUUGAAUCAGAGCUACAACUGCCAUCCACAGCCACAGCCAUAACCACGCUGGAUCUUAGCCAUGUCUGCAACAUACACCACAGUCAUGGCAACACCGGAUCCUUAACCCACUGAGCAAGGCCAGGGAUUGAACCUGCAUCCUCAUGGAUGGUUUAUAAUCUCCUGAGCCACAGCAGGAAUUUCUGAACCUUUUUUUUUUUUUUUUUUUUUGGUGGGAAGGAGAGAAGUCACAGUUUCCUUGAAGCACCCAUUGGUACAAGGGCAAGACCCACAGUCCCCCAAGCCCGUCCCCAGGCUGACUCUCAGAGCUCCUGGCUCUGGAGGAAGGUCUCCACCCACCAGAACCCACCAGCCAAUGCGGUCCCUGGAAAUGCCAGGCCAACAUGGGCAGGGGCUCACUCCUAAGAUGAGGGGUUUCUUUUGCCCCAGACUUACCUGUUGACCUUGAUGAGAGGACUGGAACAUGGCCCCACAGAGCCCUUCUUGACCUCAGCCUUGGGGUGUGGGGGAGGGAUAGUGUUUAUCGCCACUUUCACGCUCAGACUAAUAUUUGUCAGACCUUUGCACUUUUUCACAGGCCUUUCAAAUCUAUAACCAGCUCUGAAUCCACCUCCUGAAUCAUAUAAGUAGGGCCCCGGGGCUUUGGUCUGAAUCUCCGUGUCCUUGGGAUUAGGAGGUGGAACUUUUGGGAGGUUACUGAGUCACAAGGGUGGUGCGUUCAUGAGUGAGAUUAGUGCCCUUAUAAAAGAGUGGCCACGGAAGGCUCUCUCUCUCCACCAUGGGAGCACAUAGCAAGAAGAUAGUUAUCUGAUCAUGAAGCAGACCCUCACUUGCUACUGAAUCUGCCAGUGCCUUGAUCUUGGACUCCCAGCCUUCAGAACUGCAAGCAAUAAAUGUGUGCCAUUUAAGCCACACAUUUUUAAUUUUAUUUUAAGCAUAGUCAAUUUACAAUGUUUUCCAAUUUCUGCUGUAUAGCAUAGUGACACAGUCAUAUAUAUACACACACACACAUAUACACAUUCUUUUUCUCAUACUAUCUUCCAUCAUGUUCUAUCACAAGAGAUAGUUCCCUGUGCUAUACAGCAGGACCUUAUUGUCUAACUAUUCUAAAUGCAAUAGCUGGCACCUACCAACCCCAAACUCCCUGUCCAUCCCAAUCCCUCUUGCCUCCCCCUUGGCAACCACAAGUCUGUUCUCCAUGUCUGUAAGGCUGUUCCUGUUUUGCAGAUAGGUUCAUUUGUGCCAUAUUUUAGAUUCCACAUGCAAGUGAUAUCAUAUGGUAUUUGUCUUUCUCUUUCUGACUUCACUUAGUAUGAGACCCUCUAGUUACACCUAUGUUGCUGCAAAAGGCAUUAUUUUGUUCUUCUUUAUGGCUGGGUAGUAUUCCACUGUACACGGGUACCACAUCUUAAUCCAUUCAUCUGUCCAUGGACAUUUAAGUUGUUUCCGUAUCUUCGUUAUUGUGAAUAGUGCUGCAAUGAACAUAGGGAUGCAUGUAUCUUUUUGAAUUAUAGUUUUCUCCAGAUAUAUGCCCAAGAGUGGGUUUGCUGGACCAUAUAUAGUUCUAUAUUUAGUUUUCUGAGGAACCUCCAUACUGCUUUCCAUUAAGCCACCUAGUCUAUGGUAUCUUGAUAAUAACACAGGACAGGUAUGUUAGCGGAUCUACCUCUUGACUCCACCCUUCCCACACCCCUCUCCCAUUAGAAAUGGGACCCAUCAAGUGUCCUUAUAAAUAACCCAGUCCUGGGUGGCUUUAGAUAAGAGCAACUUGCUCUGGCUUUUGAUUCAUGUUGUUCGCUGUGACUGCACAUGUUUCCGGCACCUCCGUGACAAGAAGGGACCAAGGGAGCUCCAGCAGGCAGAAGCUGGAGCAUCACUUUAAGAAAAUGCUGAUGAAUAAUUUAUUCAAAUGAGCCUGGGAACGUUAGACAAUGCUGUAUUACAAAAUAAAUCAAUUAUGAUUUUUUAAAAAGAGAAAGAAAUCUCAGCUUGUUGAAAAACAUUGCAAAGGUGGGCGACUCUCUCUUUAUUGAAAAAAGAAAGAAAAGUGAAAUCUCAUUUAAAUAAGAAUCUAUUACAACAGCUACAGAGCCAUUUCAGUGACUCCUUAAUAGAAUGCCCCCCCGCAAACACAGCACAUCUGCCAGAUGCCUGCCUUACCUUUCUCAAUUAAAAUUCCACUCCUAUUGUUGGAAGGUUAACUUUGAACUCACAAGGCUAUGUAGCUCACCAGGGUAUGGAGUUAGUUGCCUGUAAAUAUGCAUAAAUUAGCAUCCUUUAUCCCAUGUGGGGUUUCCAAGAAGAACAGUGAGUACCUCUGUAAGGAUCUGAAUGGAUCCCCUUUUUCCCAGUACCAGGAGAAGGAAAAUGCCAUUCAAGAAGGCUGAGAAUCUCAGGAGUCUACAUUUUUUGAGAGGGAAAAAAAAAAAAAAAAGAAGAAGAACUCCAUUUUGGCUCCAGUCAAAACACAGAUGGGAGGAGAAGACUCUUCGUUUGUUUAUCAUAAAAAUGGAAUCUCCAUUUAAUCAUUCAAAAACCUUCCCGGCCCACCUUGCACUUGUCCAGCCUAUGUUUAUCCCUGUGGCAGGUGCUAGGAUACAGCAGAGCUGGUCCAUUAGAGCGCACAGGCAGUGUCCACUGUCUGCCCUGAGCCAGCCUGCUCCCGGCAGAGGAAGGUGCUAUGAAAUAAUCUCCUAAAUCCUCAAGACCCAUGACUCACAACUCACCCCCUGGCCCGUGAGAGAGUUUAUCAAUUACAACAUCCGAGAGGUUAAUUUGACAGGUGGGGGCCAGUCCUAAAAGCCACACAUGGAAGCAAGGAUGGAUGAAGGAAAAGUUAAUCCCCACAACACAAGGGUCCAGGGCCAUCGCUGAAGACAAAGUAUAUAUAUUAACCAUCUUUGAUUCAGGAGGAUUCCAUUCUCUCUCCCCUUCACAAAGGAGGCAACUCAAGACAGCUGAGAUACCCUCAACUCUCAGAAGACAAACUACUUUGCCAUUGCUUCAUCCCCACACUCAGAAAACACUCACUUUGCCUGGGGGGCCCUAGAGGGGCCACCGUGAACAAGAAGUGUGUGUGUGCAUGUGCGCGCGCUCUGAAAGACUCUCAGACGCGGAGCAGGCGAGUCCUCAGUGGCUGGGGAAGCCACCAGGUCCCUGUCCUUGCUAGGAGGUAGGCAGCCCAGCCCAGGGGAGGUAGGAAGCCAGGGCAGGAGGAGCCAGUUACAGCAGGGCGGGUGGAGUGGGGGGGAGUGGCAGGAAGAAUGCACACACUGCCCUCUCUCUAGCUGAAUGUUUAAAGGAACUGGCCCGUCUCCUUAUUUAGACCACACUCUCCCACAUCGCUAAUUGUCUCCGCCUAAUGGUUUGUGACAAUCCUUAUACCUUUGUUUGCUCUCGUUCAGCUUUGCCCAGAGGUUCCCUGCAAUGCUGGAAACCACCUAGCUCCAUCUGUGACAAAUUAUAUGCUGGGGGAGAAAGGACGGUUCCAGCAGGAAAUAUGGUGAACUCCAGGAAGCUCCUCAAAGGGAAGGAGGCCAGGGUUGAUCCUGGAAGAGACGGGGGACAAGGGGACCUACUGGGGCCUCCGAGGUGCCCCUGCCCACCUGGCUUGAGGUAGUUCAGGCAGCCAUUGUUUCCUGUUCCCUGAUAGGUGGACACAGCAGGAGCCACGGGCACUUAGGUUGGGGUGCGGGGAGGGGUCUGGCCCUUCGCAACAGAAGUCCCACCAGUGACAAGGGGUAGGGGACAACGUCCAUGCUCUGGGGAGGCCUGGGACAAAUCCAGCAGGGCAUCAUGGCCUCGGGCCCGAGGUUCACAGCCUGGAGCAAGCUGGCUAGGAGGACAGAUUGCAAACAUGCAGACAGACCCGGAAGAGGUGGCAGAAGGACACUGCGUGUACUUGUCAUUGCAAUCUAAUCUUAAUAUCCACAAAAGCAAGAAACAUCUCUUUCCCCUAACUCUUCAAAUUCCUGGAUACAAAAUAUUACUGGACACACAAUAUAAUCAAUAGAGAAACAUCACCUCAUAGUUUCUCUACCUAAAAUCCCCCGGAAGCUCUUUGUUAAACCACAGAGCAAAGACGAAUGACCCUGUGAUCCUCUGGGCUCUUUACCUCUGUAGCCUCAAAUCCCACUCUCUUGGGCAUUCUGCACCCAACUGCCAGCCCUGCCCUGCCCCCGCCCCCGCCCAAAAGUGCUUGCAUCCCUACACCCCCCCACACCUCCCACAUACAUCCCCUCUCUGCCCCUACCCUCCAGCCCCUAGUUCCACCCCUUGAACUUGCCACAAUUUCUCAUGCCUCCAAGCUUUGCACGAGAUCAUCUCUCUGUUUCAGGAACCCCCUCUCUACCCCUAUGCAAUCCAUAACGGAUCGGGUAAUCCUAGAUCCCUGGGAAUCUGCCUCUGUGCUCUGCUCUGUGACCCUUGUUUAGCAUGUGCCUCUAAUACACGAUUUAUCAGCGAGCUCGACAAGCGGGGAUGCUCUGAUCUAUUCUUCCUCCACAUCCUAGAUUGAGUACUAGAGCUGGAGGCACAGUGUUCAUCUCUGAAUGAGCACCAUGACAGAUGGAUGAAUGAAUGAAUGAAUGAACAAAUGAACUAAUGAAUGAUAAGCAUAAGUUGGACUGAAGAGUCAAGGAGGCUCCUCAAUCACACCUCCUAUGAGAGAGGGCAAACCUUGCCUGGCAAGGUCUGGAUUGGACUAUUUCUCCCCUCCCCUUUUGCCAUUGUCUGGCCUCUCUCUGGGGCCCUUACAUUUGCGGAGAAGGGUUUAGAGAGUCAUCGUUCUGCCGCAGCAGCCGUCUGGUCCUGAACAUCCAAGUACGUACUUAACUGUAUCCUAAAAACAAGUCUGAUUGCUCAGUGCAUUCCCACUGGCCCUCACCGGCUGCAGGCUUUGCCCAGGAUCCCCAGGCCAGCAACGCUGCAGCCAUUAGCGCAGAAUCCAUGGUGGAGAAGGAAGCAAAAACAUUUUCAGACUAAAUGAAGCAGAGAAAUGAAAGAAUUCUUAAAAGAGUUCCUUAAGAGGAGAGCUUGGCUCCAGAUCUGGAUGGAGAAGGGAAAGAGAGUGUGAGGCCAUGGGGCUGGCCAGUGCGCUCCCAUGCCUACCUCCUUCAACGGUCCUCACCACCGGCCUGUGAGCUCAGCACAAUUCUCUCCCACAGAUGCGGGCGUGGAGGCCGAGAGACCUGCUUCAGAUGCUCCUGGGCGCACAGCCACGCACCAGGGGCGCCAACAUUCCAACUUAGGGCUAACUCCCCGGUGGAAGGGAAAUUCAUGUUUCUUUCUGCCAAGAAUAUGGCUUUGCCAAGUGACAGGCUGUAAAGGGACCCCCUCGUUAAGAGAAAA